UCCGUUUUGUCAACGGCAGUCUCGCUAGAGUGCUCUUGCGUAGCAACUAACAAUAAGGGUUGCGCUCGUUGCGGGACUUAACCCAACAUCUCACGACACGAGCUGACGACAACCAUGCACCACCUGUCUCUACUUCCCCCGAAGGGUACCUAAUGUAUCUCUACUUCGUUAGUAGGAUGUCAAGCCCUGGUAAGGUUCUUCGCGUUGCAUCGAAUUAAACCACAUAAUCCACCGCUUGUGCGGGCCCCCGUCAAUUCCUUUGAGUUUCAACCUUGCGAUCGUACUCCCCAGGUGGGAUACUUAUUGCGUUAGCUGCGGCACGCAGGGGGUCAGUCCCCGCACACCUAGUAUCCAUCGUUUACAGCGUGGACUAC
rnacentral:misc_RNA from 1 species